rnacentral:rRNA from 1 species
GACGAACGCUGGCGGCGUGCUUAACACAUGCAAGUCGAACGGAAAGGCCCUGCUUUUGUGGGGUGCUCGAGUGGCGAACGGGUGAGUAACACGUGAGUAACCUGCCCUUGACUUUGGGAUAACUUCAGGAAACUGGGGCUAAUACCGGAUAGGAGCUCCUGCUGCAUGGUGGGGGUUGGAAAGUUUCGGCGGUUGGGGAUGGACUCGCGGCUUAUCAGCUUGUUGGUGGGGUAGUGGCUUACCAAGGCUUUGACGGGUAGCCGGCCUGAGAGGGUGACCGGCCACGUUGGGACUGAGAUACGGCCCAGACUCCUACGGGAGGCAGCAGUGGGGAAUAUUGCACAAUGGGCGGAAGCCUGAUGCAGCAACGCCGCGUGCGGGAUGACGGCCUUCGGGUUGUGAACCGCUUUCGCCUGUGACGAGGCGUGAGUGACGGUAAUGGGUAAAGAAGCACCGGCUAACUACGUG